UUCUGUUUCCUGUCCUCUUAGUAAGAUGGCAUCAAUCGAGGAGAAACGUUCAGAUUUCAUACCGACUUCAGAUGACAAAUGCUCUCCUUGCAAAGGUCAUAAUGGAGUCAAUCUGUCUGAUAGGACUAAACUUUUCUUGCUGGUUUUGUCCGUCUCUGUUUCAUUUUUUCUUGGAAGUCUGAGCGCUCUUAGGAUGAAUUUGUUCUUAUCAGAUCCUGACAGAGAACUGAUGGAAAACUACAGCAGAAUUCAAAAAAAUCUCUCUUCUUAUCAUAG